rnacentral:rRNA from 1 species
CCUACGGGAGGCAGCAGUGGGGAAUAUUGGGCAAUGGGCGAAAGCCUGACCCAGCAACGCCGCGUGAAGGAAGAAGGCUUUCGGGUUGUAAACUUCUUUUGACAGGGAAGAGCAGAAGACGGUACCUGUCUAAUAAGCCACGGCUAACUACGUGCCAGCAGCCGCGGUAAUACGUCGGUGGCAAGCGUUAUCCGGAUUUACUGGGUGUAAAGGGAGCGUAGACGGCGGCGCAAGUCUGGAGUGAAAGGCCGGGGCCGAACCCCGGGACUGCACUGGACACUAGUGAACGUGAGUGCAGGAGAGGUGAGCGGAAUUCCUAGUGUAGCGGUGAAAUGCGUAGAUAUUAGGAGGAACACCAGUGGCGAAGGCGGCUUACUGGACUGUAACUGACGUUGAGGCUCGAAAGCGUGGGGAGCAAACAGGAUUAGAUACCCGGGUAGUC